CAAAAGCAUUUAAUACAGUUGACACAAGAUGAUCCGGUACAAGGUGCUCCCAGAAGUUCUUACGGUCUUAUCAUAGAGCACCGUGGGAUUUAACGGGAAGUUCACGGCUCCUUUCGUACCAAUGUCGCUUGUUGGGUUGGAGAUGGCGUCAAACCUCGAAAUCUCUGGGUUCUGAGCCAGAACUCUAACCACUGCGCCACGGCUGCUAAAUAACAACAAACAUUCGCAAAGUCUAUUUGUUUCAAUGUAAAUGGUUUUGUUUGUAUCAAAUGUUAAUCUAUUUUAUUAAAAACAGUGGUUUAAGUUGAAAUUUGUGUCAAUUUAGAAAAAAUGGGUUUAACUUUUUGAAAAAUCUUUUUUUAAAUGUAAA